AUUGAACGCUGGCGGCAGGCCUAACACAUGCAAGUCGAACGAGUGGCGGCCGGGUGAGUAAUGUCUGGGAAACUGCCCGAUGGAGGGGGAUAACUACUGGACACGGUAGCUAAUACCGCAUACCAUCGGAUGUGCCCAGAUGGGAUUAGCUAGUAGGUGGGGUAACGUCUCACCUAGGCGACGAUCCCUAGCUGGUCUGAGAGGAUGACAAGACACACGGGAACUAAGACAAGGUCUAGACUCGUACGGGAGGCAGGAGUGGGGAAUAUUGCACAAUGGGGGCAAGCCUGAUGCAGCCAUGCCGGGUGUAUGAAGAAGGCCUGCGGGUUGUAAAGUACUUUCAGUGAGGAGGCGUUACUCGCAGAAGAAGCACCGGCGAACUCCGUGCCAGCAGCCGCGGUAAUAC
rnacentral:rRNA from 1 species